rnacentral:lncRNA from 1 species
AGCCCACUGAACUGCAUAGAAGAGCCAAGAGUUAUUCAACCUGCCCAAGUAAUUCUAUUACACCACCAACAUCAGAACCAUGCUUUAUGGAUGCUUCAACUACAAAUGGCAAGUUUCUUAUCUUUGGAGAGGACUGAAAUCAAAGGUCAGAACAUCAACAAAAAAGCAAAGUAUUCUUUUGGAACAAGCUCCAUAUCUAGAGAAACAGCUGAUUCUAGUGAGAAUUUCAGUAGUUCCUAGAGAGUGACUGUGGAAAAGGCAAGCACAGCAGGAGACACCUGAGAUUGCACUGGAUGCAGGGAGUGAGGUGCCAAUUGUGGCUGGAACUAUAGGAAGGAGCGGGCAGGCCAGAGCUGUUUCCCUGGGAUUCCAGAACAGAAGGCUGUGCCACACAGAGGUCCCCUGGGUCACAAUAGCAGCUGAAUCUCAGUGGCCAUGACAGCAAGGCAACAACGGGGCCAGCUCCCCAAGGUCCAUGUAAGUGCAGCUGCCCAGGACUCCCCUUGCUGUCCAGACAUAGGCUCUCCUACCUGCUUCCAACUUCAGUUCUGUGGCAUUUCCAGGAAAUAUGGGUAGUUAACACAUAACCAUGCUCAAUGAGAGCCAACCUGUGGCUGUGCGGCCCUUUCUCGGCACGUGGCCCAAGCCUGUGCUGGGUCUACGCAGUGAAGUACAAGGUAGGAAGCCACAAAAACCAAUCUGCAGCUAAUUGAAUCAGAAAUCUAUGAAAGGUACAGUGCAGACUGAAGAAGAUGACUGAGAGGCUUCAUAAUGAGGAACAGCACCCAAAAUCACGCUGCGGAACAGCUCUCAGAGAACAGCACUGCAGUGACAGAGACGGCACCACUGCAGCACCAGCGCCGGUGCAGGACUGGAUGCUCAUGCACAUCUCAGGCCUCCAGAUGCCCGCGACCUUCUCCCCUUCAGCCUCUUCCAUAACCACACUACUCCUUUCCUCCAUCGGCUUCUCCCCUGACUGCACAGAAGCCCAUUUCCCCACCAUGACGAAAAAAAACCUUUCCCAGAUCUAAGGCAAAGGGAAAAACAUACAAGACAGAAUGUAAAUUUGUGCUGCCAGGGGCUGGGAAAGGAGGGGAUGGGGAGUGACUGAUGAAUGGGUAUGGGCUCUCCUUCCGGAGUGAUCAAAAAGUGUUCUGGAACUAGAGUGGUAAAGAAGGUACGACCUCGUAAAUGUACUAAAUGUCAGUAAUGAUAAAUUGUAUGUUACAUGUUACCACCAAAACAACAAAAACAUCUCUGGCCUCCCUCAGAUUCCACGAUAUUACUCAGUACUUUUGUUCUCUCUCCUCUCCCCUCCCUCCCUAGCUUCCUUCUCUUCCAAGCCUGAAAUGCAAACAUUUUCCUCCUCCUCACUCUCAUCCUUCUGUCUCCACAUUCUCUCAUUUGGAGAUAUCAUCUAUGAUCAGUAGCAAUUCCACUAUCCACCCUAAGGAAGAGAGCUCUACAGCAAACCUUAGAAAACUUUUUCAGUGAAGGGCCAGAGAGUAAACAUUUCAGGCUUUCAAAGCCACAUGGUCUCUGUUGCAGCUAUUUAACUCUAUGUGGAAGCAGCCAGAAACAAUAAGUAAACAGGUGUUCUAUGCUCUAACAAACCUUUAUUUACAAAAACAGGGCUUGCCGUGGUGGCUUACACCUGUAAUCCCAGCACUUUGAGAGGCUGAGGU